AUCUUAUUAUAUCAUUUGUUUUUGAUUAAUACUUAUACUGAAUUAUUGUGGUUAAUGUAUUCUUACAAAGAAUAUUUUAUAAAAUUGCUAAAUCAUCAAGUCUUAACUUUUGGAAAUAUUUUCAAUCUUUCUUUCUAAUUUUUAUACUGUUUUUCUAAUCAAAGACUAAUAGAUAACACUGUGAUAGUAAUUUUGGAAAGUGAUUAGAAAAUGGUCUUAUGUAACUUCAAGCCACUUUCUAAUCAGCAGUUACUAAGUAGUAAACUCAUGCUCAUGCUCAUUAGGAAUGAACUACAUUUUGGUGGGAAAAACUCUCUAAGUUGAAGAAUAGGUUCAACAAGCUGUGACUGGACCCCUCCUGAAAAAUCUGAAGUGUGGGACCUGAGUCCUUCAACAUGGUAAAUGACAGUUUUACCUUAUGGCCAUUUUUGAAGGAUGGGGACUGACAGGCUGAACCCAGCUUUUCCUAAAUGAAUAUGUAGCUAUAAGAUCCAGAAUUAAACCUGGAUAUUCCAGGUAAUAAAUAACAAUAUGUCUUUACUAAUGGAAGUUUUUAUUAUGUUUGCAUGCUGGCAAUCAUCAUUAGAUUCCCUAAGAAAGGUUAUUUAGGUUGGUGUUAUUUAGGUUCUUUUAUAACAUGUAAUGCUAAUUAUAGAAAUUAUUUUGUCAUUAUUUAUAUAUUUACUGAUAUUAGAAGUAUAUCAGUAAAUAUAUAAAUAAUGACAAAAUAAUUAUAUAGGUACUGAUAUUAUAGGUAUAUUAUAGUAGGUAUAUUUACUAUAUUUUAGUAAAAAAUAGUUGGCAUAUUUUGGGCUCAGAAUACAAUAUAUUUUUUAAUGGAAAGUAAUGGCAAUUUAAAUGUUGAUUCUAUGAGCAUUUUCCAAAAAUGCUUUAAUUUUAUAAACCAGAGUUAAAGUAUAUGUUUAAUUAUUAUUUUUCAGUUCAGUUAGAAAGGGGAGCAGAAAAUAUCCCUAGGAACUAUAUAGUGAUCUGUUAUGCAGCUACUUUUAUUACAAUAGAACUGCUAAUAUUCUUGAGGAUCACAAAGUGCUAAAAAUGUUCCAAAUUUUCAAAAGAUCUUUUACCAUCAGAGAAAAAAACUGAUCUGAAAAUAUGUAACAGAAUAGAUGAAAACAAUGUAUGUUGUAUUAGAUUGUAUUAGCCUGAAUAUAAAACCAGUUUUUCAAGAAAUUCAGUACAAAAAAAAAAAUAGGAGCUAAUUUUUUAUAGUCAAGAUUCUAAAAUAAAUGUUCAAUUAUAAAACAGUGUUUUACAGAAAAUCUUCUUCAUUUUGUAAUACUGCUGCUAGCAUAUUAAAUAUUCUUCAUAUUUUUAAAAUACUUUCUGUUAAACUAUUUUGGAACUUUCAUAUAUUUUUUAAUGGGAAUGAUGAUGAUAAACUCAUAUUUUUGUUCAACUGCUUUACAAUGUUCAAACUAUCAAUAAAGUAUUAAAUCGGCGCUCUUUGGCAGUUAUUGUUCUGGGAAUCUUUAUUCCAAGCAAAUAGAAUCAGAAGUCACAUCAUCAUGUUCACUUAUGACUCAAAAAAAAAAAAAAAAAAAAAAUUAUACCCAUCCUUAAAACUCAAACCAGUUUGCCUGACAUUCUACAGGUUUAUGCUGGAGAAGAUAUAAC
rnacentral:lncRNA from 1 species